rnacentral:lncRNA from 1 species
GGAUGUCUCUCCAUCCUGACAAUUCCAGAAUGCAGAGCAUGUGGAGUGAGUGUACUGCUUUGCUAAGAGUUCCAGACAUUCUCUGACAGGGGAGUUAUCAAGGCCCCAACUUUUUUUCCUGAGACUCAAGUUAGGGAAAUCUGUUGGGAUGGACUGAGGUAGCUCAGACCAAAGCCCAGUUGUAAGGAAAGGUAACAAAGCCAGUGGAAUAAACUGACUAGAUGCUUAAAAUUGGCAGAAGCAAUGCCUGAGGCCAGAAUUAAGAAGAAAACAAAGGGGGAUGGUGGUAGAACCUGACCUUCCCAGUCCUCCUGGGAGCUCAUGUAUACCUGGGGCAAUAGCUGUGUAAAUGAAUCAAAAUUUCUGUAACCUUGAGAACCCUGGCCAGGUUGGUGUGGAGCCAUUUUGAUCUGAAAAAACACUAAAGAAUGAGUAUUUCUUCUCAAGAACGAACACCACAAAGCCUUUCCUCAUCUAUUCAGAACCUCAUCUAUUCAGAACCUCAUCUACUCAGAAUUUAAAAACAUUAUUUAAGAAGAGACAAGGAAAAAAAGAUGGAGGGAUGAUUUUUGUGCCAUUUCAGGGUGACAGAAAAGGAAACAAGGAGAGCUGGAAUUGACCUGGAUCCUUGUGGGAAAUACUUCAGUGAUGGAUGGAAGCAGAGGGAGAAAGGACCAAAAUGAAGCCAGGAGGGACAAGAUGGCUGGAAUGUUUGGUUCUGAGGAUUCAUGAUUGUCCUUAACUCACACGGACUGAACUCUCGCUUGCCUGUCUUCCUGGGGCUUGUGUAAGAACAUCCUGCAGAAAAGUAUUAACAACGCGAGUGAUCUUCACUGUGUUUAACGAUUCAUUGAUUGUAAAAGAUGUUUUACCUGGGAUAACAAUGAGUGUGUAUUCCUGGAGCCUAAACUCACUGACCUGGAAGGGGGCCCCGAGAAGUGUGCUAAGUGGACAAAGGAAGCCUGGCUAGAGUUUAUAGUUUUCUAACUAGAUAAUUGAGUGAACUAAAAGGUCUUUUAUUAUCCUUAUGUGGAUUACGUACUUUGCAGGAUAUGCAUAGUCAUUAUUAAAACCA